rnacentral:rRNA from 1 species
UACGUAGGGUGCAAGCGUUGUCCGGAAUCAUUGGGCGUAAAGAGCGUGUAGGCGGCCUGAUCAGUCCGCUGUAAAAGUCCAGGGCUCAACCCUGGAAGGCCGGUGGAUACUGUCAGGCUAGAGUCCGGAAGAGGCGAGUGGAAUUCCUGGUGUCGCGGUGAAAUGCGCAGAUAUCAGGAGGAACACCAAUGGAAGGCAGCUCGCUGGGACGGUACUGACGCUGAGACGCGAAAGCGUGGGGAGCAAACAGG